UGGGAUCUCACGUCACCCCAGACCCACGCACCCCGACGUGGCGCGUCCUGCACCCCUAUGUUCAGGCUGAGUGGAGACUUUCGCUAGCAAUGUGCAGGCUGCUAAGCAGAUGCGACCCGGUGACAGCUUGCACCUCAGGCCUUGCUCCUUGAGCUCCUUGCUCCAUCAUCUUUUCUCAAAAUACGAUCCUCUUUAUCUUCAGAGUCGCAAAAGCGCUGCAGGGACUGGCGAGGCUCCACCACGUGGCGGAAGCCAACAGCACGGCGGCCCCGGAACGCCCCUCCACCCUGGCCGGCCGCCUCCCACCCACCUCCUGGGUGCUCGUCAGCACCGCGGCCCGCGGAGCGCGCGAGCCCAGGGGCCCAACCGAGCGCAGCCACCAGAUGCCCCGCGUGGCCACCGCGUGGGCCUCUCCUGCGCCUGCGCAGCCCGCCCCCUUCCCGGCAGCACCUGCGGCGUCAAGGCCAGGCACGUGGCGGCGGCUGCGCAUGCGCGGGCUCGGGGCCUUCCCAGCGUCUUCACGCAGACCUCGGGGAAGCGGGGUCCGGUGGAGCCGUGGUGGAGUGGCUCCGCAUAGGUCCUGGAAGAGCUGCAGAGGAGGGCCUUUCUUCAUGGAGUUAGCUUUUUCCCUGCCCUUCUCUUCUCCUGGUGCGGUGACCUGCCUCCCUUCUCCUGGAUCACUUUGCUGGCGGCCACCUUGUAACACCUCAGGUGGGGACACUCAGUUGCAGAUAGGCGACGGGAGACCGUCAGGGGCCCAAUUUGAAGCAGUUGCCAGUGGAUGAUAAAGUUGCUCUCAAGAGGAACAGAGAGAGUACUGGACAGAUAAGGCUGGAAAAUGCAAAGAAGCUCAAAGUGAAGGAGCCAAAGCAGAAAAAUCAGGGAAGACAGGGCGAAGACCAGCAGUGCUUGAGAGAAGAAAAUAAAUUCUCCAUUUCAAAAGAAAAUCCAGGGCGGGACAAUCUUACUGUCAGAUAAUCAUGUAAAUAGCUUUCUGUGUCCAGCAGAACAAAGAAAAGAGCUCGAUGGAAAAAUGGUUAGCUUUUGCUUUUGAGAAAUGUGGUACCUCCAUGGCUUGAUGGCAGGCUGUGUGCAUCUGUUCACGGCUGCAACCUGUGCUGAUGACUGUGGCUGUGAUGAAUUCGUGCCUGUGACCACAGCAGCUCUCCAGGUGCUGGGCGGGCUCUUCCCGUGGCGCCCAUCCAUUCUGUCUCCUGCUUGGCCUUGUUCACGGUUGCUCACCUCGCUCAGCUGAGGUCGCUCCUCCUCCUCUCCUCCGCUGUUUGGUGUCCUUGCCAGUUAAUUACCCUUAGGUGCUGGGCCCUGCACUUACGGACAACAUGGAGCCUGGCUUGUUGACAGGACAGCAUCUGCGCCUCUCCGUCUACAACCCCCACGACAGGGGUUACUGGGGAGGGGGCAUCUGGAAGUGACAGGGGUCGCUGUGGGGUCCAUGUGACCAUCAGCUGUCCCUGUAGCUGGGGAAUGGUGCUGCACGGCGGGUGGGUGGCACAGUGAGCAGCUGCAGGUCCUUGCUGAGUAAGGGAGCGGCUGGGGAGUGGGGAGCCUUGCCUUCAUCUCCUGGGUGGGCAUGGGGCUGGGGGAGUCACGGAGACCUGGAGGACCAGCUGCUGCUGGCCAGUGCGGGGUGGUGUCUCAGGGCCAGCCCAAAGCCUCCUGAGCUCCUGCCACUGCUCCUGAGUGCUUCCUAGCCUGUCCCUCUGGUGUAUCCCCUCCUCCUCCUCCCUCAGGCAGGAGGGCUGGGCUGGGCUGGGGCAGAGGGGGCCUCCCACGGCUUCCCCGUGGGACUCUACACCUCUGCAGUCAGCACAUCCCGAGAGGAGUGUGGGUGUCUGCCGCCCUUCCCUCCCUAGUCCUCUCGUUUCGUUGAAGCGGCUCCUUCUGUCUUCUCAAGCACAGACCUUGGUGUCAUCUUUGAGGGCCCCAUCCUUGAGGGCCUAGAUUCCCCAUGAAAUCCAUCUAUUAAUCCUGCUUUCCAGCUGUGUUAUGACAGGGCCUCCUCUCACCUUUCUCAGCUGGCCCAGGCCUCUGCCUCAGUAGGGCUCUAACGUGAUUUUCAGAAAUCUCAGGUUUUUCCUUGCAAGACACGCGUUUCACUGUGUCUCCUGUCUGCAUUGAUGUGGGUGUGUGUUGUGAUGUUCAGGUGGUGGAGUGAGAGCAGCUGUAGGGUGAGGUGUGGGUGAGGGUGGGCAGUCAGCCGAUGAGUGGGCAGGUUCAGACCGGGGCGCCUGGCGCCCCCAUAACCUCCUUGGGGUUCCCGGGGACAGCGCCUCUGACCCAGCGUGCAGCCCGAGAUGGGCCCCGUGCCAUUCCCACUUAAGCGAAGUGUCUGUUCCUCUCUCUGUUCAAUGUGGGUUUUGUUUCUGAAUAUAUUUUCUCACACUUCUUCAAAAGUUACUUUGGAAGGACUGUUUUUCCAAAUUGAUUAUUUCGGAACUGCUGUGGCUGGUGGGGACAGGGACGGGCCUAGAGGGGACCUGGGAGCUGCCUUUUACUGCCCACCCACUCUUCCUGGCGGUCUGGAGGUGCCUGAGAUGUGCUGGCAGCUUCUGGCCUCGGGUGAGGACUUCCACCACCAGCUGGUGCUGUGCUCAGAGUCAGAGGCUCCUUGAUGCCCCAGCACGUAGGUCACCAGCAGCUUUGCCAGGUGUACUUUCUAAAAAUGAGAAAAGGGUCAUUAAGAGCGUGGGAGGGUUCCAUGAGGUGGUUUUGACUCUGUUGUUAAAACGGCAACCCUAAAUGAGCUGCAGAGUUACAUAUUUAUGUAUAAAUUUGUAUUCUAGAUUUGCACAGAUCACCAAGCCAGUGAACACUAAUAACCAUGAAAAGCCACCCAAGAAGAAAGGCCAAGUAAGCAUCUCAAAUAGUAAAUAAACGUGUGACGG